GGCAAUGUGGCGGAGUGGUUAUCGCGAUAGACUAGAAAUCUAUUUCCUUCGGGAGCACAGGUUCGAGUCCUGUCAUUGUCG